AAAGGUAAGCCUAACAAAAACAAAAACAACAAAAAAAACCAACUUUCCUUUCCAACUUACUUUUGGUCAAAGUGUUUUAUCACCACAUCAAUGGACGGAGUCCAGGGCUGCUGCACUAGUUUGCUGUAGAAUUGCUACAUGAGGUUUUAUCUUGUCACAACAGUUUUCCCCUCCCCCUCUGUGUGUGUGUGUGUGUGUGUUGUGCUUGUGUAGUGGGUGGGGGAGGCUAAAGUACAUAGGGGGGGGCAGGGUUUCUAGUGUCUUCCUCUUUUACCCUUCAUCUUACUGCCCGAGACAAGCUCUCUCGCUGAGCCAGAAGCUUGCUGUCUUAGCUAGGCUGGCUUGGCUGGCCUGGCUGGCCAAUGAGUUCUUAGGCUCUGCCAGCCUCUGUACCGCCCACCUUCUCUCCACAAUGGAGUUGCAUGCAUUCACAGCCGUGCUUUUUACACGGGCGCUGAGGACUUGAACUCUGAUCCUCAUGCUGUCAUAGCCAGUGUUCUACCCACUGAGCACCCUCCGAACAUCCCAUGUCAGCAUCUCCAUGUCAACAUCACUGGGUUACUGUCACAAAUGGUUUGAGGAAGCAGGCACAGAUAUUAAUUAGCAUGACUCUGGAGCUGUCCUCCCAAGGUGCUACUGUUGUGUGGUGUGGUAUGAGGCACAGGAUUGUGGGUAGUAGGCUCUGUCCUUGGAUAUUCUUGAGUUACUACUGUACGGUGUGACCUUGGUGAGUAGCCUGCCCUCUCUGUGUCUGUGUGUCAUCUCCUGGGUGCUGGUGCCUGGCUAGUGUAAAUAUAAUGGAGAAUCUGACAGGAGAACAUUCCCUCAGCCCGUCCCCACACCUCCCAAUUGCGAGCAUCUUGAAGCCUUCCACUCAGUGUGCUGCUUAGGCUUCAAGCACUAAGCACACUUAGGCUAAGUGUGGUGAGUGGAACAGGUGUGCCAUGUUCUGCUAAGCAGUCUCCUCACGAAUAAAGCAACCGAACUGUGUGGGAAAGCAGCAGCCUUGAACCGGUGGUGCGACAUUUACCCAGACUGAUGGUGCCAGCUGGAGCCUUCCCUGAGCUGAGCCAGUCUUUCCUAGCCAGAGGGAGAUCUGCUGAUCUGAGACUUCUGUGAUGGUCUUUCCUGCUGACUGGGAGAGGAGCAGAGUGGGAUGUCCAGGACUGACCUGCCAAACAGUGGCGCCAUAAGCAAUCUUUCAGAGAGUCCCUGAUUGACAGGGCAAUGGGAGCUGGAGACAUCAGAGACCACUGUAACUCAGAGCAGCAUCCGGGACCUCUGGCUCAGCACCAUGACCCACAAUGAGAGCAGGGGUUUUAAAGAUGUAUUUAAAAUGCUUGGUUCUGAGAGGAGAUGGCUCAGUCUGCACAUGACUGAGACCGAAGCUCAACCCUAGGGUCCAUGUGAACAAAA